rnacentral:lncRNA from 1 species
UUAAUUUUUAAAAUCUGAUUGUAUGGAUGAUAAUUCUCCUAAUUCGGAAAUUCUGACGGAAUAUGUUUAUCAACAUAUAGAAAAAUAACAAAAGUUAUCGAACCAUACAAGAAUAUACAUUCUGAUAUAAUAUAUAUUUUGAUUUAAUAAACUUUUUGAAGAAUAACAAAAUUUUGGAUACAAGUUUAAAAAAAUUUCAUUACAUUCUUGGAAAAGAAAAAAAAUUAUAUACUAUUCUAUGAGAAUGUUACACUUAUUAAUAGCAAAGAAAUACAAAUAUAUAAAUCAUUCUACCAGAAUAUACUAUUAUUCUGCUAGAUUUAGAAGAUUGGUGGUCCUUGUUCAUCUUCAUCCCGUAGAAUAACUCACUCGAUGUCCCCUCUUCCCUCUAUAUUUUCCUGUCAAAAAUCAAAAUCAAACACCAAUUCCUCCCAAUGAUUUCUGUUCAAACAAUAAAAAGAAUGUUGUAGCUAAUCAAUUAAAAUAUAACAGCUAAAGCGUAUAAUUAUUCCAAGUUUCACUAUGACCAAAAUCACACUCAAAUUCUGUUUCUCCUAUUGGUCCUUCCAUUGCAGCCAUUCUACCUCCUGAACACUCAAUAAAAGAUUAAACUCAAAUAAAAUCAACACUCCAUUCUAAAAUAAUAUAUACAAUGAUAAAAACUUUUUGUGAGAUAUGGAUGAUCAAGAAACAUCCAUCAAUUCACUAUAAAACAUCAACACCAUAUAUCCAUUCCUUCAUCAGUUUGUGUCAAAACAAACAAAGAAAAAGGAAUUUUCAUUGUUCUUCUGUUCCUCUCUAUCAAUUUCUGUCAAAAACAAAUCCAAACAUCCAUCUUUAUCCUACAUUGAUUUCUAUCCCAAACAAAAAAAAAACGAGGCUACCCCAUGCUCAUCUGUUUCACUGAUAUUUCAAUGGAGCUAUUGCUAGAUCAAGGAAAAAAAAGAGAAAAAGAACAGGGGAGCUUCCGUAGUAGCCCCCGUCCACGUGCCUAUCAACCACUGAGAGCAAGACCUAUUGAAGUUGGUGUUUCCCCGGAGCAAAACCAGUCAGCGACAACCCCCUGUUUCAUCCGAGUUUUCUCACUUCACCAUUCUAUCUUCUUCCCCACCUAGCCCCGUUUCAGUAUUUUCAGUUCCAGAACAAAAAUAAAAGGGAAAUCUUCACCGGAGCUCCAGGAGAAAAACCCAUCAACGAAACCAACAACAAGAUUAGUGAAUUCAUCUGGAUCAAUCACUUCAGCACUAUUGUACAAAGAAAAAGGAAACAACGGUAUAUAGUGGAAUGGAAAAUAAAAAGCCCUAAUUUUUAGAUUGAAAUUGCAUGGUGGUUCUUCAAUUGAAAUGCCGAUUUUUGCUUAGAUAAGGGCAGCGUCGGAAAAACUCCUUGGGUGCUAAAACAAAAUAGUAGAAAAGAAUUGAACGAAUAAAAGAAAGAAAUGAAAUCGAACCUUGGGUUUGAUCAGGGAAGAGGAACAGAUGAACAAAAGAAACACGAAUAAAGUAGACAAUCCUCCAAUGGCUCAUCUGUCGAGCGGAGGGAAGAGGAAUUCAGAGGCGAGUCGGAUGGCUCUAUGAGGGAAUUCCAUCGUGGAGAAGAGGGAGAAGGGGUCGUCAAGGCCGUCGAUUCUUCCUAGGCCUCAUGAUUUUCUCAUCGACAACCACCGAUCGGGAAUGACAGCAGCGGUGGUUGAUGAUUUAGGGGGCAUUUUGCUGAUUUAGUCAACGAAAAGGAUGAAGAAUAAUGGAAACAGCGACGGGAAGGAUCGGAAAAGCACCUCUAGUGCCUGAAAUUUUUUUAAGAAGGAGAAGGCAAAGGCAGUGGCGGCGAUGGGUUGUUUUAUGCCGCCUCUUGACUGGUUUGGUAGCAAAACACGCAGGGAGGGAACUCACAAUAAUUUUGUAGUCCAUUCUAAUUUUGC